rnacentral:rRNA from 1 species
UACGUAGGGUGCAAGCGUUUAAUCGGAAUUACUGGGCGUAAAGCGUGCGCAGGCGGUGAUGUAAGACAGUUGUGAAAUCCCCGGGCUCAACCUGGGAACUGCAUCUGUGACUGCAUCGCUGGAGUGCGGCAGAGGGGGGAUGGAAUUCCGCGUGUAGCAGUGAAAUGCGUAGAUAUGCGGAGGAACACCGAUGGCGAAGGGCAAUCCCCUGGGCCUGCACUGACGCUCAUGCACGAAAGCGUGGGGAGC